rnacentral:rRNA from 1 species
GACGAACGCUGGCGGCGUGCUUAACACAUGCAAGUCGAACGGUGACGAGGGGCUUGCCCCUCCGAUCAGUGGCGAACGGGUGAGUAACACGUGAGUAACCUGCCCCAGACUCUGGGAUAACCCCGGGAAACCGGAGCUAAUACCGGAUACGAGACGGAGAGGCAUCUCUACCGUCUGGAAAGUACUUCGGUCUGGGAUGGACUCGCGGCCUAUCAGCUUGUUGGUGAGGUAACGGCUCACCAAGGCGACGACGGGUAGCCGGCCUGAGAGGGCGACCGGCCACACUGGGACUGAGACACGGCCCAGACUCCUACGGGAGGCAGCAGUGGGGAAUAUUGCACAAUGGGCGAAAGCCUGAUGCAGCGACGCCGCGUGAGGGAUGACGGCCUUCGGGUUGUAAACCUCUUUCAGCAGGGAAGAAGCGCAAGUGACGGUACCUGCAGAAGAAGCACCGGCUAACUACGUGCCAGCAGCCGCGGUAAUACGUAGGGUGCGAGCGUUGUCCGGAAUUAUUGGGCGUAAAGAGCUUGUAGGCGGCUUGUCGCGUCUGCUGUGAAAAUCCGGGGCUCAACCCCGGACCUGCAGUGGGUACGGGCAGACUAGAGUGUGGUAGGGGAGACUGGAAUUCCUGGUGUAGCGGUGGAAUGCGCAGAUAUCAGGAGGAACACCGAUGGCGAAGGCAGGUCUCUGGGCCAUAACUGACGCUGAGAAGCGAAAGCAUGGGGAGCGAACAGGAUUAGAUACCCUGGUAGUCCAUGCCGUAAACGUUGGGCGCUAGGUGUGGGGCUCAUUCCAUGAGUUCCGUGCCGCAGCUAACGCAUUAAGCGCCCCGCCUGGGGAGUACGGCCGCAAGGCUA